rnacentral:lncRNA from 1 species
CUAUUGGACUGAGUUUGGGUCUAAUAUUCAAACUCAAUCAAGAAACCAGAUUAGGUCGAGAUCACCCAUGAUCCGGUUCGACCUGAUCGAUUUAAAACUCUACUAAAUAUAAAACAAUGAAUUGAUGAGGCUAGCAUAAAAUAUAAGUUAACUAGUAGCAAUUCAUACACACACUCACAUAUAUAUACAUAUAUAUACACAUACAUACAUACAUACAUAUACAC